rnacentral:tRNA from 1 species
ACCGAAAUAGCUCAGUUGGGAGAGCUUAGAUCGAAAAGUCCCUGGUUCGAUCCCGGGUUCCGGCA